rnacentral:rRNA from 1 species
GGUACAUCGGUGACAGGUGGUGCAUGGUUGUCGUCAGCUCGUGUCGUGAGAUGUUGGGUUAAGUCCCGCAACGAGCGCAACCCCUAUUGUUAGUUGCCAUCAUUCAGUUGGGCACUCUAGCGAGACUGCCGGUAAUAAACCGGAGGAAGGUGGGGAUGACGUCAAAUCAUCCAUGCCCCUUAUGACCUGGGCUACACACGUGCUACAAUGGUUGGUACAACGAGUUGCGAGUCGGUGACGGCGAGCUAAUCUCUUAAAGCCAAUCUCAGUUCGGAUUGUAGGCUGCAACUCGCCUACAUGAAGUCGGAAUCGCUAGUAAUCGCGGAUCAGCACGCCGCGGUGAAUACGUUCCCGGGCCUU